AACCAAGAAAUUUAGUCAUUCUCUCCGGUAAAAAGACAGUUAAGCAAAAUGGAACGAAUCAUUAGAUCUUUAGUAGAGGAGUAAAAUCUAAAUACUAAAAGUUAUGCUAGACAUGGUUUGCUAAGAUGCUGAAUCUGUGAUAGCUUUAAGGGAAACUGGGAUUGGAUACCCCAUUAUUUUUAGCUGUAAAUUUAGUUUAAGCUUACCAGAGUACUACGAAUAAAAAGUUUAAAACUCAAAGGGCUUGGCGGUGUUUUAGACCACUCAGGGGAACCUGUCUCAUAAUCGACAAUCCACGUUAGACCUAACCUUUUAUGGCAAUUCAGCCUGUAUACCGUCGUCGUCAGGUAACUUCCUAAAAUAUAGUAGUUAGCUUGAGAACUUUAUUAUUUAGGACGUCAGAUCAAGGUGCAGCUAAUGAAAAGGUGAGGAUGGGUUACAAUUAUAUAUUCAUAAUUACGGAAAGCAUAUGAAAUGAAAUGCCUUAAAGGAGGACUUGAAAGUAAUUUUAAUUAUAUAAGUAAAAUGAAUACGGCUCUGAAACGUG
rnacentral:rRNA from 1 species